UUUUAGGCCGAUCACGGGCUUCGUUGAUGUCGAAGUUGGAGGGGAAAGUAGAUACUAAUGU
rnacentral:tRNA from 1 species